rnacentral:rRNA from 2 species
UGGGGAAUAUUGGACAAUGGGGGCAACCCUGAUCCAGCCAUGCCGCGUGUGUGAAGAAGGCCUUUUGGUUGUAAAGCACUUUAAGCGAGGAGGAGGCUCCCAGUAUUAAUACUACUGGAGAGUGGACGUUACUCGCAGAAUAAGCACCGGCUAACUCUGUGCCAGCAGCCGCGGUAAUACAGAGGGUGCAAGCGUUAAUCGGAUUUACUGGGCGUAAAGCGUGCGUAGGUGGCCAAUUAAGUCAAAUGUGAAAUCCCCGAGCUUAACUUGGGAAUUGCAUUCGAUACUGGUUGGCUAGAGUAUGGGAGAGGAUGGUAGAAUUCCAGGUGUAGCGGUGAAAUGCGUAGAGAUCUGGAGGAAUACCGAUGGCGAAGGCAGCCAUCUGGCCUAAUACUGACACUGAGGUACGAAAGCAUGGGGAGCAAACAGG